GUGGGUUCUAAGCCUAGGGUUUUCACUUUUUCUCCUGUUUCAGCCUCCUCCUUCAGAUCUGACUCCAAAUAGACUCUCCUCUCUCUCCUCCUUCAGAUCUGAUUCCAAGUUGAUUCUAGGGCUCGGGUUUUCGCUGUUCUCCCUCGAAGCUGGUCGUUCACUCGUCCCUCGAAGCUCGUCGUCCCUCGAAUCUCGUCGCCGACUCCUCCCGUCGCCGACUCCUCCCUCGAAGCUCGUCAUCCCUUGAAGCUCGUCGUCCCUCGAAGAUCGUAGUUUACUCCUCCCUCGACUGUCCCUCUCGAGUCAUCAAAAUAUAAUUUUGCACAAGAUCUGAUCUCAUCCCUUGCGGAUCUGUAAUUUCAAUCGGCUUCAUUUAAUCGUCAGAGCCUCCUCAGCUCCACAAAAUGUUUCCAUACCGUAUUUUUUAGGAUGCCAAUUCAACAUAAAGAUCACCAAUUCAAACCUAGAAUACCAAUUCAACAUAAAGAUCACCAAAAUGGGAGCAGAUUGAGACCAUCGCCGUUGUCCUUAAGAAAAUCGUCGGUGAAAGCAUCGCCAUCGUCGGAAGAGGCAUCGGAUCCGGAUCCAUCGUCAUCGGAAAAGGCGUCGGAUCCUUCGUCAUCGGAAUCUGAUGGCUGGCUUUGCUCUUCUUCGUCCUCGAUAUCUGAUUCCUGCUCCUCUACUUCUUCUUCGAUAUGGAGGGGCUCUGGAGAGGGAUCCUUCUUGUUCUUCUUCUUCAAAUUAGGGUUUUGAGAUUUGGAUCCCUUUUGAUUUUUCUUCGUAGCCAUUUGGAGAAGCGAGAGAACGAAGAAAGAGGGCGCGUUACUGAGAGGAGAGAGAUAAACCCUAGGGUUUAUGGUCUUUUCGACGGUUCCGCGCUUCUUGACUCCAAUAGGGUAACGGGUUACAUCGGGUCGGAUCUUUAACGGGUGCACAUAUGGUCCAUUACAAACACGUGGAUAAUGACGCGAGAAUUUUACGAC